rnacentral:rRNA from 1 species
CCCUUAGAUGUUCUGGGCCGCACGCGCGCUACACUGAUGCAUUCAACGAGCCUAUCCUUGACCGACAGGUCCGGGUAAUCUUUGAAUCUGCAUCGUGACGGGGAUAGAUUAUUGCAAUUAUUAAUCUUCAACGAGGAAUGCCUAGUAGGCGCAAGUCAUCAGCUUGCGUCGAUUACGUCCCUGCCCCUUGUACACACCGCCCGUCGCUCCUACCGAUUGGGUGUGCUGGUGAAAUGUUCGGAUCGGCCGUUUGUCGCGGUUUCCGCGCCAUGUGGCUGAGAAGUUCAUUAAACCCUCCCACCUAGAGGAAGGAGAAGUCGUAACA